ACGUAUCUUCCGGCAGUCUCACUUGGGCGGAUGAUCUUCACAACAUCCCCACGUUUCAGCCCGUGAUAUCUGGCAAUCGGGUCGGACAUCUGAAUACGAGGCAGCUGGUGCAACACAGAAUGUUAAAAUAGUGUCAUUAGAGUUUUCUUUUCUUCAGGAGUGAGGACUUGAUGCGUGGGGACAAGUACGUGUUGGUUUAUGUUGACUAGCAACUCAGCCUCCUGCACAUUGCAAUAUGCAGACAUUAGUAUCACCAACGUCCAAAAAUGCUAGCUGCACCAGUAAAACACAUAAUAUCUAAACAAGCAUGUGCGGAAGGUGUACAAACUGACAUCUCCAUAAGUACAAAUUGCUUACAACAGUCACAACUAAAGAGCUAAUAACUCAUUUACUUUGGUGGAUAAGGUGAAUUACUAGAACUUAUCCAGUUGUUCAGAGUGAUUACUUAUCUUGAUCUGGGACUUUGUUCUCAAAUAUCGUACAAUUUGCCAUACAGAGGAGUCCUAUUCAAACUUCUUAAGAAAAAAUUAUCAUUAUACUUCCA